GUGCAGCCGCCGCGGUAAUACCGGCAGCCCGCGUGAUGGCCGAUCUUAUUGGGCCUAAAGCGUCCGUAGCUGGGUCUGAAAGUCCAUCGGGAAAUCCACUCGCUCAACGAGUGGCCGUCCGGUGGAAACUCCUCACCUUGGGACCGGAAGGCUCGAAGGGUACGGCCGGGAUAGGAGUGAAGUCCUGUAAUCCCGGCCGGACCACCGAUGGCGAAAGCACUUCGAGAAAACGGAUCCGACAGUGAGGGACGAAAGCUAAGAUCGCGAACCGGAUUAGAUACCCUAGUAGUCC
rnacentral:rRNA from 1 species